rnacentral:lncRNA from 1 species
GCAGAGGAGGGUUGCAAGAGAAGAAGUUGUGUGUAUGGAGGAUCGUUAGCAGCGGUGGGAUAACUGUAUACCUAGCAUUGCCCAACAGGAAAUUCUUUAUAGCAUUUAUGUUGCAUGACUCGGCCCAGCGCAAUUACGUGCAUAGCAUCUCCAAAUAGGUACAUUUUCAUCCCACGACUCGCGCUUUAUCAAAAUACCGACCUCGCGGCGGGACUGAGCCGAAGCCCGGCAGACGACGGUGGUGGCGCGGGCAGGGCGGGCAGCCUGCACCUUGGCGCUACAUUAAAGGAACACGGGGGCAGCAAAAUCCUUUGCUUAGCGCUCUGUCGUUCCAUUUAAUGGCAGCCCUGGGCACGAACAAAAUCUAAUACAUGUAGCGAGAUAAGCACAUUAUGCGACAAAGCCAUUGGUUGCCGAACAAAGUGCAAGCGAUGUAGGAGGGACCGACGAAGAGCGUUGCUCACCACUGGGCACGCAUCGCGACGGCCAUAGUUGCUGAGAUGGGAUUACUCGGUCACAGGGUGCUAGCGCUUCUGGGACAGCUUGCUGUGAGCAUGCCCCGCAUCUUUGAUCCCAGGGAGCGUCCUGAGGGCCCUACUUGUACGGGUUACGGCAGCCACAACAUUGACCAGGAGCAAGAGAUAUACACAAUGCAUGUCUUCCUAUGGUAUUGUGAAUGUCCUGAAGUUUGGCAGAGUGGAUAAUGGAUUGGUCAAUGGGUGUGAAUGUUAGUAGUCUAUGAUGUUGGACGUUGUGGUACAUUUAUUGAUUAUUAAAGUCUAAUUCAAAGGUUAUACUAUUGCAGCGUUGAGAUCUUAUAAAAAAAAGUGCCUAUCUUUUUCACAAAACGAUGUCGUCAGGAUCAGUACAGUUGUUUGGCGACGGAUUGAGCAUGCCGAAUUUGAAAGGAUCACCGAACGGGUUAAGCUUAGGUGGUUAUAGUAAUACGACGAAUUCAACAAGCCCAACCUUAAUUCCGUUGGGCAUUAUCCCGGAAAAGGCUUCGUUUGCACACCAAAUUCGCCGCACUGUUCCUGCUCAGUAUUGGGGCGUAUCACAAGCGUCUGCGUCGGUACCAGAUGGUGCUUUGGCCUCGUCCGUGUCAGAUCCCGUGCCGCUGCCACUGCUGGCAGGCUCCGGCCUGUCCCGCCCGCAACUUGUCUUGGCAACCCAAGCGGUGAAGCUACCGGGGCGGCCUUCGCUUCCUGGAUUGCCGUCAGUCUGCCAUAGUCAAGGUGGCGUGGUGAGGGUUAACAGGCUUCUACAGGCAUGGGCGAAUACCCCAGUUUGAAUGUAAUGCACUGGUUACCUCCUCCCCGACCAUCAUGCUCUUACAACAAAUUGCGUACAUAAACCCCUAGACAUUCGCAUCAUUGGUCUUGCUGGAGCGCAACUUGACACCUCCAUGAACACGGCUUCUUUCCCCUAGAAAGCCGUGCUGCCUGGGCCAGAGGGCCAAAAAAGUGCGUGUAUCCAUGGGUAACCCUUGCCCGCAGUCCCGCGUUUUCACUCUAAUGCCUGUUAUAUCGAAUCCUACAGCCCUGUCACAGACAUGUGAAAACCACGUUACCUCUUCUCCACACGUUCUAUCCAACGGCCCCCACCCGCGCCCCCGCCACCUGUCCAUCCUUUCAUUUUCUGCCCUCAACUGCCACAACUCCUCCCCACCUGACGCACCUCGCCAGGUCCUAGAUAGGAUCCUCGCCCACGACAGUGGCGACUCAUGGUGGGCCGCGGUCAGCGGUCGUGCGCGGCUCGGCCGGCUGGUGGCACAGCGGGCGGACCUGGUAAGCCCCCCUCCCAACUGCCACGGGUCGUAGCCCAUGUGUACAAGCUCCUGUCAGCCCGUGCCUCAUGGCCGUUGUGUCGUUGACCAGCCAUGAGGUCCUGAGAGCUAACUGGGCCGAUGGGCGGUGCGGUGCACAUCCCCGAUGCGCACGAUGGGUGCUUGGCGUUGCUCAGCCCGGUGUGUGUGCGGGCCGCCUGGGGCAUGCUCUGACGCCCGCCACCUGACUAUAACCCUCCAGCGGGGAAGGCACUCGGGCUGGUAGCCUCGUUCGGUUCUACAGCCCACCCGCGCCGCCUGCGUGGGGUGUGGCCACGUCUCCAAUUUAUUGGCUCUUUUGAGUUCGGCAUCCCUUUGCACGCCCCCGGCUGCAGGUGGCUGCAGUGGCUGACCCGGCCAGCUACAGUCUGUGCGCGACGUCGCGGGUGCAACUAAACAGGUGCGGGUUGAUCAAAAGUUGGGAAUUAGGGGAAAAACGCAAAGGUGAGGUGAUUACUGAAAGCGGGAACCCACGGAGCCACGCGGAGCAUAGUGUUGCAUUCGGCAGCUGUUGCUACCUCCCCCCUUCACCAGAGCCAGUUGGUGCUUGUACUUCGGCAGGAAUAUAUAUAAAACACCUGACCUAAAACGAGGGGUGGGUGCGGACUCCUGCACAUAUUCCUGCACUUCCCACUGCUGCCCCCUUCCCCCCGUUCAGGAGCACCGUCUUGCGCUCUCGGCUGGACUGUUGCCCGCCCACCUCCACCGCCUCGACUUCGACAUCCAGGGCUGCCCUCGUGACCGCCGCUGGUAGCGCGGCGGCCGCGCAGCGGCAACCGCAGCAGCCGCAGCCUGCGGGGGCGGGCUGGGCGGCCGCGCCGCCGCUGUCUGUGUCCUCCCAGCUGCAGUCCCGUGUGGGCCGGUGGGCGGAGGUGCGGGCUGACCUGGCCAUCUUCCAACGCACUGGCGGGGGCUGGGCUGAGCGCAACAGCGCGAGCAGCGGUUCGACGGCGGCGGCGGCCGUGGAGCUGGGGCAGUCGGCUCAGGCUACGGCUGUUGGAGCGGUGACGCCGUUGCUGCUGGGGCUCCAGGCGGGCUCGGUGACCACGUCGGGGGCGCCACUGGUGUGGCGGUGCGGUGUGCUGCAGGUUAGUUGGGGUUGGUUGGUCACACAUCUACGGUGGGUUGAAGAUCCCGGGGGAAGUGGAAAGUGCUGAGGCUCCUGACAGCGGUGUCUGGAUUGUCGCCAGGGCCGGGGCCGGGGGUUGGGGGCUGGUUGUUGCGGCGAAGGACAAGAUGAGGGCAUAAGGGAUGAAUUCCGCGGGCAUCGGGGUGUGUUUUGCGGUUUCUAGGGGACCUUUCCAGGGACUUUUGUCUGGAGGUGGGGUCUGCUCAUCACGCCCUUGCAGCUGAUUCUGUCCCCGCACGGUUGCGGUAUGGGACGGGAUGCCGGCCGCAGGUGACUGCGCCGCCGACAUGGCCGCUGGCGGGCGGGGCUGAUGCACCGACAGACGUGGCCGGGCCUGCGCUAAAGAGCGGCGUGUACGUCCAGGUGAAAGUUUUCGUACACGAUCCUCUCUUUACUGUGCGUCCUUUAUUCAUGGCGAAUCCUGGGAGGCACCCAUGCGGUCUGCAUGACGUCAUGGACUAGCAGGACCGAGUGCUCUUAAGCCCUGGUGGCUGUCGGCGCCCUAGCCGUACUUUUACGAUGCUUAUGUAUGGCCUGCCAAUCCCUAUACGGUCGGUUACAUUCAUGUUGUCGUACCGCCGUACCUAUGCACAGGGUACCAUAGCACUGCAGGGGGAGCGCGUCCUGUGGCAGGGACCCACGCGGCCGCCACGCCGGCGCAGCCGUACAGAAGCCGUGCAGAGUGGCGGUACGACAGUCCAGCAGCAGACCGUGGCGACGGUCGACGGGGCCGGGCACGCUACCACCGCCAUGGCCGCACCCCCCUCGGUUGCGGCAGCUGCGGCACCGCAGGCGAUAGGGUCGUACACUCCCUCCACGAGAAGAGCUACUGCCAGCGUCUACCCGCUUUCCAGCAACGGCGGCGAUGAGGAGGACGAUGAUGAGGAGGAGGACGGCGGCGUCCUCGCGUCCCCCACAACUGGCGCGUCCAGCGUCUCAGGCGGAAAGGCGAUCCGGCCACCUAAUCGCGUGCUCGCUGCGGGGCCGGCGGGUAGCGGAGGCGCCGCCGCCGGUGGAGCCGGCGGCGGCAGCGGCGGGGCCUCCGGCAGCAGCGCAGGCGCCGCCCCCGCUGGCGCCGCAGCGCCGCCGUUCGGGAUCGAGCUGCCGUCCGCGGUUGCUUUACAGGACGCCCUCAUGGACGUCACUCAGUCGUUUAGUCGACUACGGGAUGACGUCACGGCGGCGACUAAGUGGGUCGGCAGCGGUGGGCUGGUGGAGCAGCUGACGGCGACGGCGGCGACGGCGCCAGGCGCGGCAGCUAAGCAGCGACAGGCCGCCGCUGCGGCACCACCCCACGGAACAGGUACACAGGCGGGUGGGUAGGGCUCCAGUGAAUACGCCAUGCGGUGGUGAUGAAAGGGGGACACUUUGUGGAUCGAACAAUUAGGCUGGAGACAGCGGCGACGCAGCGUGUGCACACCCCUGCUGUGCUUCUCUGCGUGCCAGGGUGUAUGGAAAACACCGUGGCCAUUCGCCCAUUUUACACUUUCAAUGUACGGACAUGGGGGAGUAUUUGCCGCGUCGUUCUCCUGCAUGUGUUUCCCGUCGCCCUGAUGUUUAACUGUUCCCCUCCCUUGGCGCGGUUCCGCUGUCGUGCCAUCUGCUCCAUCUGCGUGGCUGGCCUCGGGGCAUCGUUCGGAUGCUGGAUGGCGGUACGGCAACCCGCCGAUUAACUGCGGGUAGACGACGUCCCAGUGGCGCCGGUUCCCUGGAGUUCCUUCGUGGGGAAGCCCCACGUGAAGGUGGCGGGCGUGGCAGGUAUCACCGCACGUGCCCCCGUCAUCGUGCUGACCCACGGGUCAGUCGCGCCAGGCGGCAGCAGCGCCACCGCAGCCUUCCGGCCUACCCGGCUCGCCUGGUUGCAAGACCUGGGGCUGUCGCACUUGUUGCGCUGUGGACGCGGACGCGGACAGGGAGGCGGGUUGGAUGGGGACGACGCGGCCGCUCAUGCCGCACGCGGCGCGCUGCGUCCGUUCGCCAGCGCCGCAGCCAGUGUUCAGGCGGGCCGUUUCAGCGGCUGGCUGCUGGAUUUCACCCGCGUGUCUGCGCAGCUGGAUUGCGGGCUCUGGGGUCCCGGCGACAAGAGCCCCGCAGGUGGGCUGAACUGGCUGACCCCUCUGUCGGGUUGUGAACUUGGGGGGACGAUACAGCUGCACGCCGGGGUACUGCGGGCCAGAGCGGAGGUGUUGCAUCCAGGUGACCAUAUACCGCCCAUCUCCCACUACCAACCCAAUGCUCCGAAACCCCGAAUGCCCCACCCGACGUUUCCCGGAUCUCUUCCGGCAGCCCAUCCAUAUCCGCGGUGUUCGUAGGCCCCGCGGUGUUCCUAGCCUAGGUCCCGUGGGCCACUCCGCUAUUUUUGUUACUGAAACCAAAACUUAUUACUGCAGGUGGUAGCGACCAGGGUAGCUGGACCAGGCAGCGCCAUCCCGCCUUUGCCCUGGGCGACACCGGCGCCUGGCACGCGCUGUCGCUGUCGAUCUGCCAGCAGCUACUGGGCCCGCUUCGCUUGGCUGCGGACUGGCGGUACCAGCUGGCAUCGAGUAGGCCGCUGACGUUGCCGCCGCCGCCGCCGGGCCCCCAGAGAACCCCGGUUGCAUCAGCGCCGACGUCGAUGCGCGCAACCACCCCCGGUGCAGCCGCAGCUGCGGCGGCGGCGGCAGCAGGGACCUGGCUUGGCGACGCUGCGGGUGCUGUGGCGGCUCAUACUGUGGGGAUGCGGCCGCAGCUGUUGGAAGCGGUGUAUGCACUGGACCUGUCAGUACCGGGCACGAGGGGGGCCGCCCGUGUGGUGGCCUGGUACUCGCCGCAGCGGCGCGAGGGCAUGGUCGAGCUGCGCAUGUUUUAACGGGGGGUUAGGGCGUGUGGCCGCAGAGGGGCGUGACUCGGUGUGCACCUGUGUGCGUCUACUUACGUAGGUGCUGUAGCUAGGCCAACACCACCACGAGGAUAAGAGAGGCCCGCGGAUAGGCGAGUCAGAGUGGUGUUCACCCCGAGCGCGUGCUCGUGCGCGUGUGUGCGUGCAUGUGCGCGGCAUGAAAGAAGGGGAUCUUUCUUGACGACAGCAUCAGCGGUGCGGCGUAUACAGCACCGGCGGCGCCGUGUGUUUGUGUCAGCCGGUGCUCCAUGUCUGGAUUUAUGAAGGCAAGGUGUGAGGUCGCAUGUAGCGCUGGGCUGAGGCCGCUCCCGGGGUUGCGGACCAGCCGUGGGGCCCUCCCUUGAGAACGCAGCUGUGCGUGCUGUGGAGGGCGGUGAGGGACGCUUGCUUCUGUUCCUCUCUCCUGCCACUCUUUAGCUCCAAGAAGCUUGCUCUUCGUCACACUAUAUUCAAAUGGCUCGCUUUGAUUGUUUGGUAUUGACGCCAUGUGGCACGUAAACUGCGCUGAUUGCACUUUUGAGUUGAAACAGAGCCAGCUGUUGUUCGAAUUCGGAGGAUCAGGGACCUUUGUUAGGUGUCUAAGGGGCAGUUGCAGUGUGGUUACAAGACACGCAGCUUGCACUGGGGUUAACGAUACAAAACCAUCUUCGGUUGCUUCUGGGCAGGCCCCCGCAGAAGCAGGGAGAUGGGCAACUUGGCGCAGCGGAAUGAGCGGAAUGAGUAAGGAGUGCGAGCGCUGCUGCCGCACCUUGCCGUGUUGAUGUUGGCUUCUGGACGCCCCUUCCACAUUCUGACAGCAAAAGGACAGACAACCUGACAGGAAGUAGGUUAUGGUGUAGGUCAUGCGCUGUAGGACCGCAGUAUACUUCCGGGCCCUAGGCGGGAAAGGCAAAGGCCUCUAGGAGGGGAUGGGCAGUUGGUUUCCUAUAUCUUGCGUGGUUCUUUCUUCCUUACCGUUCGAUUCCUGUAGGGACUCUUGCAGCAAUUUUAGACUCCAUCGCUGCUUUUGCGCCUCUACUGUACAUGUGACGGUGGCAGUGGUGUAUGGGGCUCUCAACAACUGCCAGACCUAACGGAAGGUUGUACCGGCAGCGGUCGUCGGUAGUUUACCUGCCACAGCCUUUGAAUGUAAUUAAUGCCGUUACGGAGUGUUGCAUGCUCCCCUCUGAUUGGGCACUUUUAUGCAUCUUACGUGGCGACGUCUCUUGUCCACUUGUGCGCCUGUUGCGACGUGUGUCGCUACUAGUAAGCGGACUGCGAGCAGUAUGUAUACGAGUUAGUGGCAGGUCAAUGAAUAGCUGUUUACCUUUGAUGAAAGAUAACUUCAGUUUGUUUAAGUAGGAGUAACUUUAACAACAAUCAUCGUCGGCCAUCACCGACACAUCGUUGCGACAGUCGACAGACAGCGCCGUCUUACGCAGCCUAAUAGCACAUAGAUAAUGUCGGGAGCGCAAGGCUCCCGCGGCGCUUUAAUCUUUAGGCAGUUUUCGCACCUCACGGCAGAAUGCGCGUCUUCGUCCGCUACGCAGUCAAGUGUCGCGACGGUCUCUAAUCCAGCGCAUCUUCCAUGGCAACUACUAGAUGUCGCUGCGCCGCUGAUGGCAUCUGGACCUACAUCCGGGGUCGGCGUGGCUUCCACGCUGCGAGCGAUGGGGGCAUCUUCAGGCCGAUUUUGCGCAUCGCUGUUAAGACCACCAGCUUCCUUGACUUUCCGUGGAAUCGCCACUAAGGCAGCGGCCAGCGUGGGUAGCUGUGCGGCCGCGUCGAACAGGACUCCCAUGCGACAGGGAAUGCUCUUAGCGGCGGGUGUACUGUCCAAGCGGGGUAGUGCAGCGGCGGCAGCGGUGAGACCCUGUAUGAGAAGGUGUGAUUUGUGUGCAUGAGGUCGUGUCGUCUCGCGGCUUCCUGUCAGAAAGCCUCGCACCUUAUCCCAUGUCCUCCGCGGCCCCCAUUGCUGCCUCAGGCAUUCCCCCCGCAAUUGCUGAACCCCCCAACCCCUCCAUCCCUCGCCUCCCUCCCCAUGUCACACGCCGCCCCAACCUUCCCACAAUCCAUGCGCCACUAAGGCAUAUGCCACAGCAGCAGCGGAAGGCGCCGCUGCUGCGGCUAGCGCCGGUGCAGUAGCGGCCGGGCGGCGGUUGUACGGCGGCUUAGCGCUGAGCGAGGGUCUCUCCUCCGGAGCCCGUCUUGCGCUGGCUGGCUGGCUGGGUGUGUGCUCGAUUUGGGUUUACAGCAUGGUGGUGCUGGGGGGCAUCACUCGUCUGACCCGGUCUGGGCUAUCCAUGACGGAAUGGAAGCUUGCAGGUGGGGUCCCUGUGGGUGGGUGGGGGGAAGGCGCGAGGGAGAGAUGGGGGGUGAGGGCCCUUCAGGCGUUUGCCGUUUGGAGGUUGUUCGCGAUAUCCCUCCGUGCAAAUGUACACUCGCACGGGGAGCUGGGGCUGCGUUGCAGCGUGAUGUUGUAACUUGAUUCCGGAGGGCGGGCGGCGCCGGCGGGCCGGCAUGGCACGUACUUAGGGUUUGCUUGGGCACGUGUUUGAUCAAUCAUUUGGGCUCUUGAUUCUUAAGCUGCUGGCACACAGUUGAUUGUACAGCAUGGCUUCCGAAAAGGCUUAGAUGGCGGUGGUGGAGGUGGAGGUGAUGGUGCGGAGUUGGCUGUGUUAUUGGGCGUUAGCAGAUGAGGGAAUGUGUAGGUGGUCUAACAGAGGUACUGCCGGCUGUUUUCGUGCCCCUAUCGACAGGGUGAAGUAAGAGCGGUUUAGCAGCGUACUGUUUGACUGCCGAGAAGUUGAAAUAAUUAUCGGAUUUCAUCUGGGUCAUAUCUGGUUUGGGUCAGAUUUGGUCUAUCCAAUUCACUCGGACCAAGAUAUGGUGUCAAUGAAAAAUAAUCUGGGUCAAAAUUGAUCUGGGUCAAACCAGAUCUUGGUCAGACUUGAUUUCAGCAAAGGACGUGAUGUGGGUUAAACUUUAUCUAGUUCAUGCUUAACGUGGCCCGAGUUAAUCUGGGUCAGAUUUGAUCUGGACCGGUGAGAUUUCAGCACCCGAACAGAAACUGAACCCGUCGAGUUCUUACCGGAACAUCCUGGCAAUCUUGGAUGUUGGAUGUUGGGAGGGAGACGACGUAGGGGGAUAGCAUUUGUGGACCCGCUGCUGUUGUUGUUGUUGCUGUUGCUGCUGCUGCUGCUGGUGGAACUCUGCUGGAAUGGGUUGGGGCGGGGUAUGGGGGAAGGGGGGAUUCGGUGGUAGUGGAGUGGCCUCAUCGAGUGUGCGCGCGACCCCCGGCACAGGUCCCCCCCCUCCUUACCAUGCACUUAUGCGAAUCCUACCCUGCCUUACCUCCCUGCAAAUCCCCCUUUCCUGGUAUCCCUCUUAAGACUGAGCCUGUAACCCCCUCCUUCACACCCUCAAAAUCCCCAAAGGCGAGAGGCCCCCCUGGACUGAAGAGGAGUGGGCAGCGGAGUUUGCCAAGUACAAAGCCAGUCCCGAAUUCCAGAAAGUGAGGAGGGCGUGCGGGUCUUGGCUUUUGGGUUAUGGGCGGAGGUGAGGAGGUGUAGGGAUGUGAUCAGGGAGGAUAUUGAAGGUGGACAAGAUCGCCGUCUGUAAACCCGUGAGGUGGAAGCCCCGUAGGAUUACCUACGGUCUUUGUGCAUAGUUAUUACUUCACUCGUUCAUGGUCGCUAUUUGCUUUGUUUGUUGCGUUUAUUGUGGUGAGAAGGUCAUGGAAUGUAUGAUGUUGCUGGACCGUUCCAGCCAGCCUUUCUGUAACUCCUUAAACCAUUCAAAACGCCCGCCCAACUACCAUCCACCAACGGUCAACUAACCUUACCCUCAGGUGCACCGUGGCAUGACCCUGAACGAGUUUAAAUUCAUUUACUGGAUGGAGUACGCCCACCGGUGAGUACCGUUGGCGGUUGGUGGUCGUUAUUGUGGUUACUGCUCCGCUCCAUGAAGGGCGCCAAGCCGGAUGUGCAUGGGUGCGUGCCUUGGGGUGGCGAUCCGCAAUGGGAGACCUCCCCCCUUCCUCUCCCCCCUCUAUGUCGGAAGGGGGGAAACAGGCUGCAAGUUCCGCACAAGUGCGGGGGGGCGUCCGUAAAACCCGGUGGGGGCCCAUGGACGGUUGUUGAGGUCUAAGAAUAUCCGCCUCUCCGCGUGUUGACGAUAUCUUUUCGCAGCAUGUGGGGUCGUCUGCUUGGCCUGGCCUUCGCACUGCCCGCCGCGUACUUCCUAGCGCGAGGCUGGGUGACCCGAGCACUGGGUCGGCGGCUGGGCCUGCUGUUCUUCAUGGGGGGAACUCAGGGCCUGGUGGGCUGGUGGAUGGUGCGGAGCGGCCUGGAGGUACGUGCGGGUUUGUGGGUUUGGUCUUUCCCCUUCGUCCCCCCCCCUGGGUUUCUUCCCCCUCAGCGUUCCCCCAUGCCGAUGCUUGGGUCAGUGGCUUUAUCGCUUUGGACUCACUAGGUAGAUUCAACCUUUGGACGGCGGCGUUGUUUCCUUGUUUCCUUGCAUAAGUUCUUCCCCCAUGCCGAUCACCCGGGCCUUACCUGUCGAUCGCUUUCUGUCCCUCCCCGCUGGUCAUUAUCUGCGGCAUGUGCACCAGGAGUUCUCCUUCAUUACCUCUUGAGCCCCGUCGCCUCCACCGCGACCCCCACUCGCACCCCCACUCGCACCCCAGACGACGGACUCCCCAACGGCCCCUUCCCGACGGCUGCACUCCCAAACGAAGCCCCAAUGCCUACUGCCAAACUAUGUCCCUUCCUUACCACACCGCCACCUUCUUCCGCUCCAGGGGCCCCCGCAAACCCCACACGCUCCAUCUCACCCCUGCCUGAUGUCCCCCUCCGGCCCAUCAUACAGUCAGUACUUGAUCCUCCCCUGCGUUUCUUGCACAUGACCCCUACCCCCUCCCCUACCCCCUCCCCUACCCGCUCCCCUACCCCCUCCCCUACCCGCUCCCCUACCCGCUCCCCUAACCCCUUCAGGAGCCUGAGCACGAGUGGGCUGCCCCCCGCGUGUCCCCCUACCGCCUGGCCGCACACCUGGUGUCGGCAUUCGCCAUAUACGCCACGUUGGUGUGGACCACACUGGGUGAGCGAGAGGGGGAGGGAGGGAGAGGGGGGGGGAGGUGCAGAUGGCUGGGGAGGGGGCAGGGCUAUCGGGGGGAGGAGGAGGGGGGAGGUGAUGUUCCUAUCCUAAGGGGUGGGGGUGGAUGGGGGGAAAUCUUCCCAGGUGAAUGGGGAAGGGGCCGGGUGAAGAGUGUUUCUUUCCGGUUCUUUCACAUCAUGUUCAUUUCUCCGCUUCCCUUUCCCGCACUACAUUCUCCGUCCCUCGCCGUACAUACCCCCCGCCAGAUUUGCUGUACCCGCAGCCCGCUACCCUAGGUGCCCCCGAGGGGCUGUUGCGCACCACUGCCGCCGCCCGCCGGGUGCUACUGCCCCUGGCAGCGCUCAUCGCCGUGACAGCUACAUCCGGGGCCUUCGUGGCGGGUAGGUGGAUGGGCGGGCUGGGGGUAGAUGGCGGAGAUGCUGAGGUUGUACUGAAAAGCUGAGGAAUGAGAGAGGGGAUGUUUUUGGAAGGCUGCAAGCUCGCGUAUCCAUUACUCUUCCACCUUUUUGCCCGUCGUCAUCACGACGGUGUAUUACCCUCGCGUGCGCAUUUCAACGCCGCGCAACCGCCCCUCUCCCUUCCACGAGCAGGCAUGGACGCGGGUCGUGCCUACAACACGUAUCCGCUCAUGGGUGGGCGCCUGGUUCCUGAGGAGUACUGGGACGAGCGACUGGGGCUGACACCGCUCCGGAACCUGUUUGAGAACACCGCCGCGGUGCAGUUCAACCACCGGUGAGGCGCUGUCAGGGAGGGGUCGGGGUACGGGGAAGGGGGUAGGAGGAAGGGGUAGGGGGUCGGGGUAGGGGGAAGGGGUCGGGGGUAGUGGGAAGGGGGAAGGGGGAGGGGGAGAGGGGGAUACGCAUGUUUUGGCCCCUCUCGGGGUAUGUCCGGUCACUCAACUGUAGCCGAUUCGUAUUCCCUCCUCCUGACCCGAACCCCUCACCCGCCCUAUGCCUCUGGGAUUCCGUCCUUGGAUGUGCUGCUGCCACUUCCGCCUCCAGCUCUCCACACCGAGGUUGCCUCAUCCUUUGUUUUCGUCAACCCCCUCCCUCCCUUCCCCCCUACCCCCCUAUUAUCUUCUCGCCACCUCCCGCGUCCCCGCCCUUGCUUACCGCAGUUGCCUGGCCACCGCUACGCUGCUGGCUGUGGGAGCUGUCUGGCUGGGUCACAAGGGGCGAGACCACCUGCCGGGUCGGGCCACCCGCUGCCUGCAUGCAGUGGCGGCGAUCACGGCGGCGCAGGUGGGGGCUGGGCGAGGGGUGGAAGUCGUGUGCGAGAAAGUGGGAAGUGGACUGUGCCGAUGUCCAAGGUCCAAAGCGGCUGGGCGAAGGGUGGACGAGGAGACGGUGUAGGUUGUUUUAUUCUUCCCUUGAGACAACCCUUCUUCCCGUACGCUCCGCCGUAAAGCUCCGUUCAGCCCCCUUCCCCAUUUGGGUGUUUUGCUGUUCGUCGACGUUUCGGUAUUAUAUUCCUUCUAAGCCCCGUCGGCCCUUCCUCACCCCCGGGGUGCAGUUCGCGCUGGGUAUCUACACGCUGCUGCAGUACGUGCCCGUGGCCUUAGGGAGCGCCCACCAGGCCAAUGCCCUUAACCUUUUCACGGCGGCGCUGGCGCUGCUGCACGCCUGCCGUCCGCCGGCGCCCCCAUCGACGGGCCUGGCGGCGGCGGCGGCGCCCCUGGUGACGCCCGUUUCGGUGCUGGCAGUGGCCUGCAUCGGGUACAUGGUGGCGACCCAGAAUGGCACCCUCACGCAGAGCGCUGCGUACACGGGGCCGAGGUCCGUGACGGCACCGGCGUCAUCGAUUGCUGCGGCCUCGAAUGGGAGCAAGUAGUAGGGUGGGUAUGUAUAUGGACAUGCAACUUCGGGGGGUAUGCUGCCGCAGCAGCGGCUGCUUGGGGGAAGGGGGCCAGGGGCAUGCGGCGCGGUUGGGGGGGUGUAGCUGCGAAAGGGGGUGUAGCUGGUGGCGCGGGCUGAGGGUGUGCGUGCGCGCGAAGAGUGCGGUUUGCAGUGACGUAAGUUGUCAGCUGGUGUAGCUGGCAAUGAUGGUAUAGUGGUGGUGAUGAUGGUGCUGAAGGUAGGUAGCAGUGAUCAUGAAAGUUGAGGUACGAGCUUGCGGUAUAUCUGCGUGUAGAUGGCUCGUGUCCGCUGGUUAAGGGUUCGGCGUAGGCGGUCAGGUGCUGUGGCCGCGGCGAGGGCCCCUACGCCAUGCGAGGCGACGGCGUGUCUGUAUGCAGAAAACUGCUGACCCACGAAGCUUGCUACCUGAAAGAAUAUCCCUUGCUAUAAGGCGUUACGUACAUACUACCCAGCCAUAGAGUGACGGAACUGCUCGCGGCCCGAAUGCUACUGUGGGUGUUUGGAGUCGUGGCGGAGUGUGCGAGGUCUCUUGAGGGGGGUUGGCAACGUUUUGCGGAUGGGUUGUACCGGGGUUGGGUCUUUUAGGGUAGGACUGGCGGAUUGGCAAAAACGCCAACAUCUUUUCUCCUUUUGGUAGGUAAUCUGUGCUCCCAUAGUCUGGUGUCCCAUCGUUCACCGGUAGCGCGUGGGAUGGGAUGAACAUGCUCCGAUUGUAACUGGGGAAUAUCCACGACCUAUACGGGCCUAUCGUAGGAAUUUCCUUGCUCCAAAACUCGCGUGCAGUCGCCUGUUGGGCACCGAUCCAAACGCGGAACCCUUACCAGCAACAUUCUUGCUGGGGUAGUUACCACAAUGCCGUGCAUGCGUGUACCAUGCGGUACUCACUGCUAGUGACUGGAGGAUGCGCGUGUCUAAGGUCAAAACCACAGUCGGCCAGCAACACGCGGCGAUUUGAAGGUCGGGUUGUCCCGUUGGCCAAGUGGAAACAGCUG